GUGGAAUGGCCGUCGCCGCAGGGACGCGGAUUGGGAUGCAGGGGCGCGGCCCACGCCGAAAGGCCGGACCCCACGCUAGGUCCCAGCCGCAGGGCGGCGGCCGGCCCGCGUGGAGACUGAAGGCGACCUGGCCCGGGAGGAGCUCACGUGGCGUAGGACGAGAGGCGGAGCCUGCAAGGUGAGAAGACUCCCUCCAUGGUUUGAAGUAUAAGGAAGUGACCUAAAAUUCCUCUCUUAAGAAAAUGAGACAUUUCCAUCAUUGGCUUCUGACUCACUCCAGAGUAAAAAGUCCUCACUGUGGCCGACGGUGGCUCCUAGUGAUCUGGCUUUUCUGUUCCCUGUCUUUCCUUAUCUCCUUCCUCUCUCUCCCUUGGCUUCCCUGGUGUCCCUGGAAAAUGCCAAGUAAAUUUCUACUUCAGGA